CUUCUGAUGAAUGAAAAUUCUUAUUGUCUUUCUGUUAUUUCCUUUUCUAUUUAUUAUAUAAAAAUUACCAAAAAUAGUUCGGUUCUUCACACUGUUGAAGACAUAUCUGAUUCUGAAUGCCGCUCGCUUAAAAACAUCUUUGCCGGCUGCCUUUCUCUCUGAGUCGACAAACUAAACCCACUCACUUUAACGCCUUUAACACCAUUUUUUCCCCUCAAAAAAAGUCACUUUCAAUACAAAUCUUCCAAUAAUUCAGGUAAACUUAUUCCCCCCAUAUGCAUAUUUACUCUCUUGCCUUAUUUGUCCUUUCCCUUUAUGUAGAUUUUCAGAUUCUUGAAAUGACUGAAAAGAAGUUCUAAAAGAGUUGAAAUUGGUUUUCAUGGUAAUAUUCAUUGAGUGAGUUACUCAUAAACCUGAAUUGAUUUGGUACUAAGCAAAUGAGUGUUGUUGUGCUUCCUAAACAUGUGGCUGCUGUAUUAAAAUGUCAAAAGAACCCCUUAAGGGCAUUAGAAAUAUUCAAUUCCGUGAAAAAAGAAGAUGGUUUUACCCAUAAUUUGUUUACCUACAAAUGUAUGGUUGAUAAGCUUGGUUUUUAUGGAGAGUUUAAGGCAAUGGAAGGUGUUAUUGAAGAAGCUAGAAAGAGAAUUGAUAAUAAGUUGUUAGAAGGGAUUUACAUCACUGCUAUUAGAGGUUAUGGAAAGAAAGGCAAAGUUCAAGAAGCUGUUGAUGUGUUUGAAAAGAUGGACUUUUUCAGUUGCGAGCCGUCUGUUCAUUCGUAUAACACAAUCAUGAAUAUAUUGGUUCAACAUGGUUAUUUUAAACAAGCCCAUAAAGUUUAUAUGAAGAUGCUUGAGAAGGGUAUUUCUCCUGAUGUGUAUACGUUUACUAUUAGGAUAAAGUCGUUUUGUAGGACAAAUCGGCCUCAUGUUGCUUUAAGGCUUUUGAAUAACAUGCUUGAUCAAGGAUGUGAGUUUAAUGCAGUGGCGUGCUGUACGGUAAUUGGUGGAUUUUAUGAAGUGAAUUGUCGAGUUGAGGCUUGUGAAUUGUUUGAUGAGAUGCUUAGGCUCGGAAUAACUCCUGAUGUUACUACGUUUAAUAAGCUUAUAUGUACACUUUGUAAGAAAGGGGACAUCCAAGAAAGUGAAAGGCUUCUUAAUAAGAUUCUGAAAAGAGGGGUGUUUCCGAAUCUGUUUACAUGUAAUCUCUUAAUACAAGGUCUUUCCCAAAAGGGGCAACUAAAUGAAGCUGCUAGGAUGUUAGAAGCUUUGACGAAAGAAGGUUUAAAUGCUGAUGUAGUAACUUAUAACACUCUUAUAUGUGGUUUAUGCAAGCACUCAAAGGUUGAUGAAGCUGAGUCUUACUUGCAUAAAAUGGUGAACCGCGGGUUCGAGCCUGAUGCGUUUACCUAUAACACUAUCAUUGGCGCAUAUUGCAAAUUGGGUAUGAUACAGAAAGCGGACGUAAUCCUUAAUAAUGCAGUUUUUAAAGGUUUUGUUCCUGAUGAGUUUACUUUCUGCUCCCUUAUUAAUGGAUUAUGCCAGGAUGGUGAUUUCAACAGAGCCAAGAGUUUAUUUAAUGAAGCCACAGGUAAAGGUAUGAAGUCUAUUGUAAUCCUCUAUAAUACCUUGAUUAAGGGAAUGUGUCAGCAGGGACUUAUCUUAGAAGCGUUGAAAUUGAUGAGUGAAAUGCCUGAGAAAGGUUGUUGGCCUAAUACAUGGACUUAUAAUCUGGUCAUCAAUGGGUUGUGCAAGAUGGGCUGUGUAUUUGAUGCUAGUUAUAUCCUCAACGAGGCCGUGGCCCAAGGGAUCCUUCCUGAUAUUUUUACCUUCAACACCUUGAUUGAUGGUUAUUGCAAGCAGUCAAAAUUGGCUGAUGCAAUUGAGAUUCUAAAUACAAUGUGGGAUCACGAUGUUGUUCCAGAUGUGAUAACCUAUAACACAAUGUUGGAUGGACUUUGCAAGCUUAAAACUUCUGAUGAUGUGAUGGAAACUUUCAAAGUCAUGGUGGAAAAAGGGUGUGUUCCAAAUAUAAUCACAUAUAAUAUACUCAUUGAGAGCCUCUGUAAAUCUAGAAAGUUUGUGAAAGCUUUAGACUUACUUGAUGAUAUUCAAAGCAAGGGUCUUAUUCCUGAUACAGUAACUUUUGGCACUCUGAUAAAUGGGUUUUGUGAGAAUGAGGAUUUGGAUGGAGCCUAUGAGCUAUUCAGAAGAAUGAAAUGGCAAUAUAAAUGUUCUCAUACUACUGCAACAUACAAUAUAUUGAUUAGUGCAUUUGCUAAAAAGCUGAAAAUGGACAUGGCAGAGAAGCUAUUUCUUGAGAUGAAUGAAUGCGGUUGUCCUCCUGACAACUACACAUACCGUUGUAUGAUAGAUGGUUUCUGCAAGGUAGACAACACUGAAUCUGGGUACAAGUUUUUGCUUGAGAACAUGACAAGAGAAUUUCUUCCAUCAAAAGAAACAGUGGGGCGAGUGAUCAAUUGCCUAUGCGUGAAGAACAGGUUGCUCGAAGCAGUUGGUACCAUUCAUCUCAUGGUGCAGAAGGGUGUUGUUCCUGAUGUGGUCCACACCAUUUUUGAAGCAGAUAAAAAGGAUGUGGCGGCUCCUAAGAGUGUUGUGGAAGACUUGCUGAAGAAGAAUCAUAUAACCUAUUGUGCCUAUGAACUUUUAUACGAUGGGAUAAGAGACAAGAAAAUUUUGAAGAAAUUAUCAAUGAAGACAUUGGUGCAAACCCAGUGGCAUAAAUCAGUGACAGUAGCUGAGAACAUUGGACAUGUAAAGAGAGGGUGGGUUUAAUCGCAAUGCUUCUUGGCUAACUCAAUCAAGUUGAUUCAAUGCUUAAUAAUCCAAUGAUGUUUCCCAAGUCUCUCCGAGUGAUGUCUCCUGGAUACACCUCUCUGUACUCCUAGGAUCAGAGAGCCGAGGGGCUACCGGAAACAGCUUCUCUACCUCCUAGGUAGGGGUAAGGUCUGCGUACACUCUAUCCUCCCCAGACCCCACUUUGUGGGAUUACACUAGGUAUGUUGUUGUUGAUGAUUUUUACAGAGGUCUUAGCAGGGAGUUGGGGGAUGCUUUUGUAGAGAUUAUACAGCUAACGACCUAAGCACAGAUGUUCAUAAAAGAAAGGUGGAAAAAGAUACCUGAUCCCUAUACUGAUUACCAUUUUUGAAUUUACUAUAGUUAAUUUCUUGGCCAUCCCACGUGUUGUGCUGUUGUUAUGUGUUCCCCAGCUAGAGAUACUUUUUUCUUUUUCAGGUAUCUAGUUAUGUAAGCAAUGAGUGUCUCAUUUUUCGUCGUCAUCUACAGUGGUUUCCUAGAAAGCCUGUUUAACCUUUUUACAAGUUUGAGAAACAAGUAUUUCAGUACUUUCUUAAAGAAAAAAAGAAACAAGUGUUUUAGUAGACUAAUUUUCAAGUUUGUGCUAGAAAGUACCCGUGCAAAAUAAAUAUAGGUUAAAAGCUUUAGUGCUAGGAGUGGCAAUGACAUGGGCCAGGGCUAAGUAAACAAGAACGGGGUGGGCAAGUGAGUUCUUAGGCGGCGCCAGGUGGGGCGGUUGAAGUUCAGUAUUUUGAAAAUAAAAAAUGUGGUAAAAAUUAACAGGCUUUUGGUAUACUCUUUUAGCUCAUAUGGUCUCUGAAACCUAAAUGUGAAAGUGAAAAACUCGGUUUUUGGAAAGCCCCCAGGGAUUUGGUUUAGUGGCAAGAGUGCAACACGUGAUGUAUGAGUUAAGCGCGUAUCACGAGUUUGAACCCUACCACAGACAAAAGCUUGGAAUUUAAGUGGAGAAGUGUAGAGGAGUGGGUCCAUUAUCCACCUGAGUUUCGAAUCGCCCGCCGUUGGCCCUUGGGAACCUUUUUUUUUAAAAAAAAAACUCAGUUUUGGAAAGCCAGUAUUUGAAGCCGUGGUGCUGCCAAGUCCUACCAUUCUCUCCAGCUUCCUCAAAGCCAUGCUCGACAAUAGAAAUUCUUCCUUUGGUUUAUUUUUUCUCCCGACUUCAUUCCUCCUCUUUUUGAUUCGUUUAUAAGGCCGGCUUCUUUAUUCCUUUGUUUUCUCUGAAUUAUUUGUUUUUUUUUUUUUUUUGGUUUACUUUAAUCUAGCUUUUUCGAACCUAAGUUUGUUUCUAGUGGUAGAUCUUAGGAUUCUUUCUUGUUUUGUUUCCCUUUGUUUUUUGCUGUUGAGGUUUGAAUUUGAUUUUGUUUUUAAUGGGGCAUGUGUGAGAAAAUUGGUGAGAGUAAAUUGCGCCAUGACUGAAAUUCAUGUGGCGUCGAUGGUAGAAGUAAAUCUGAAUAUCGAGAUUGGAAUCUUAGAUGCAGUGAAAUCUUUUACCCCUCAACAGAUGUUGUGCUCUUUACUCUCUCUGAGGCAAGGCAUAAAUCUCCUUUUUGGGAUGAGUGAGCAAAGAGCCAGUUAAAUAUUUGAUGCCUCCUCCAUAGGAUAAACUGCUGUUGACAAUUCUAGUUAUUCCAAGAAGAAAUACCACCAGAAAGUCUGUUCGUGGCCCAUUUAAAUAGGUUGUGAAUUUUCAAGGUGGUGCAUUGCGUAGAUUCCAUUGUGCAGAGCAAAAUAACUUGGCUCGUUGCUUAAGAGAGGCUAAAAGGACCAUCCUUUGUUGAUCUAUCAAACAGAAAUUUGACAGUUGAAAAUGGUGAGCUCUAAUCAGCUAUUUGGUAUUUCAUAAAUGUCAUUUUCUUGUCGAAAUAUUAUUUUAUUGGUUUUUGAUAAGUGAAUAUCAACUAUUCAUCAAGUACUGUGUGCAUACAGAAGUGCAGCAGUUAUAGUCCACUGUUUAAUAGCGUAGGGAACUGAUAGAAUCUGUUCCUGUCAUGACUGACGUAAAAUAUUAACAUAACUCCAAAAAGACAAACUGUAAACAUGUGUACUUCAAGCUAUAAGGGGCUGUCUAAAUUCCUUUAAAACAUAUAUAGUAUCUUUACUAAAAAUGACUAUUAAUGUAGAUAUACAUAGUUCUAGCUCUGUAAGAUAGUCUAAAAGUCGGUGUCACGUAACAAGCAUGAACCAAAUCUCGUUAAGCUAUAAAUUAACCGCCACUUCUCUUUAUCCUUCGCAAAUUAGUUUCUCUUCAUAAGGUGUUUUUGGUGUAGUUUGGUUGCAAAUUUUGCUUGUUUAACAAUGAUCACAGUUAUAUAUUAAUGAUUUGGCUUUGGUUCUCGUCUUGCUAUAUCACCAUCAAUGUAUUAAUGAUUUGGAUUUCGUAUGAUCCUUUAUAAAUAAAUAUGGCAUGCCAAGAUGAAGAGAAUUCACUUUGCUUGAUAAAGAGGAAGAGCCAGAUCCGAUUGGUCUAUAGGAGGUACUCUCAGUCUUGCUGGUUGUGAUUUAUGAUGGCUACGAUGCUACUAGCUUGCAGCUGGUGUGGUGAGACUGGAGCCAUUUGAUUUUGGUGAAGACUUGGCCGUAGCUGCAAGAUUGUUACCGCAGUAUUUGUCCUUUGUGAUGCGCCUCUUGUUAUGUAGAACAUUGGAGCGAAAGAAGAGUUAUUUUGUUCUUGGCUAGCUAUUUGAGUUGGAGAGUUUACUUUCCUCUGGUAGGUCGAAAAAUUCAAGGAUUGAGCAUGCAUGCAGUGUGUGAUGACCAAUAGCAGAGCCAGUUUUUAGCAGCUUAACAAGUGCAAGUUGUGAAGAAUUUUCAGCGAAGCUAAUGUAUUAAUGACUAUCGGUGUACAUGACUUGGUUUGGUUCAGUUUUUAAUAAAGCCAAACCAAACCAAUUAUAUCGGGUUGGUAGGUUCGAUUUUGUUGGUUUGUUCGGGUUUUUUGUCGCAUGAAUACUAUUUUGUUGGAGUUGUAGAUAAAGUUUUGAUAAAUCAAUCUAUGUCUAGCAAUGAUUGACAAAACGGCAAACUUAUGAUCUAA